GACGAACGCUGGCGGCGUGCUUAACACAUGCAAGUCGAACGGUGAAGCGCCGUCCUUUUUGGUGGGUGUGGAUGAGUGGCGAACGGGUGAGUAACACGUGAGUAACCUGCCCCCUUCUUCUGGAUAACCGCAUGAAAGUGUGGCUAAUACGGGAUAUUCUGGGUCUGUCGCAUGAUGGGUCUGGGAAAGAUAUUGUUUCGGUGGGGGAUGGGCUCGCGGCCUAUCAGCUUGUUGGUGGGGUGAUGGCCUACCAAGGCGGUGACGGGUAGCCGGCCUGAGAGGGUGGACGGUCACACUGGGACUGAGACACGGCCCAGACUCCUACGGGAGGCAGCAGUGGGGAAUAUUGCACAAUGGGCGCAAGCCUGAUGCAGCGACGCCGCGUGAGGGAUGGAGGCCUUCGGGUUGUGAACCUCUUUCGCCAGUGAAGCAGGCCUGCCUCGUUUGUGGGUGGGUUGACGGUAGCUGGAUAAGAAGCGCCGGCUAACUACGUG
rnacentral:rRNA from 1 species